AGCGAACGCUGGCGGCAGGCCUAACACAUGCAAGUCGAACGAAGUCUUCGGACUUAGUGGCGGACGGGUGAGUAACACGUGGGAACGUGCCUUUAGGUUCGGAAUAACUCCGGGAAACUUGUGCUAAUACCGAAUGUGCCCUUCGGGGGAAAGAUUUAUCGCCUUUAGAGCGGCCCGCGUCUGAUUAGCUAGUUGGUGAGGUAAUGGCCCAGCAAGGCUACGAUCAGUAGCUGGUCUGAGAGGAUGACCAGCCACAUUGGGACUGAGACACGGCCCAAACUCCUACGGGAGGCAGCAGUGGGGAAUCUUGCGCAAUGGGCGAAAGCCUGACGCAGCCAUGCCGCGUGGAUGAUGAAGGUCUUAGGAUUGUAAAAUCCUUUCACCGGUGAAGAUAAUGACUGUAGCCGGAGAAGAAGCCCCGGCUAACUUCGUGCCAGCAGCCGCAGUAAGAC
rnacentral:rRNA from 1 species